rnacentral:lncRNA from 1 species
GUCUCCCCUGACCCCCAUAUCAAUCCCAUAUACACCUGAGCUGCUAUAGAACUGGAAGGCAAGUGUGGGGUGUGCAGGGGCUUCCUGGUGAGCGUCCCCCAUCCUCACAUUCAGACUUACAUCUUCAGGCAACUUUCUAGAUUCUAGACUUUAAUGCACGAGAGAAGUAGGAGUCUUACUAUAUCGCUCCUGCUGUUCUCCACCUCCGGGGAUCAAACUGCCCACGUCAGCUUCCGGAAUCGAAGGGAAGAUAGAUGUGUGUGUGCUACCCACCUGGCAAGCCCUAAAGUUGAGAUGUGGAAACGUGGGUGCACUGAAUGUCUGUUCUACUAAAGAGUGUUGUUCUUCUGACCUUGGGAUGAAUCGCUUCCCUUCUUGGGCCUGUUUAUUCAAGUUAAUGUGAAAUAAUCCCCUUUAACAUUAGUUAUCUUUCCUACUUUUGUUGUAGGGUUGUUUGUUGCUUGGUUCUGAGAUAGGUUUCACCACCACACUCCAGCCUGCCUACUUUUGAAGUUUACUUUUCCUCCUGAGCACACAGACACUCACUCAGGUGUGGAGGUCAGAGGACAGCUUGCACGAGUUGGUUCUCUCUUCCCAUCAUGUGUGUCCUGUCCUGGGGAUUGGAAUGAGGAGGCUUGACAGCAAGUGCCUUCAUCUACUGAGCCAUCUUGCCAACCCUAAAGUAUACUUUAAAAAAUAUACUCAGGAGGCAGAGACAGGCAACUCUUUGAGUUUGAGGCCAGCCUCAUUUACACAGUGAGUGGGACAGAGCUACAGCUUGAGACUUUUAUUUAUUUAUUUAUUUAAAAUGAUUUUCGGGCUGGAGAGAUGGCUUACCAGUUAAGAGCACUGGCUGCUCUUCCAGAGGUCCUGAGUUCAAAUCCCAGCAAUCACAUGAUGGCUCACAACCAUCUGUAAUGGGGUCUGAUGCCUUCCUCUGCUGUGUCUGAAGAAAGCAUACUCGCAUACAUAAAUAAAAUUAUGUAUAUAUAUAUA